rnacentral:rRNA from 1 species
GGGGUUCGGGAGUUCGCUCUACACCCUUUGUGACAUACCUAUAACUGUUGCUUCGGCGGGUAGGGUCUCCGUGACCCUCCCGGCCUCCCGCCCCCGGGCGGGUCGGCGCCCGCCGGAGGAUAACCAAACUCUGAUUUAACGACGUUUCUUCUGAGUGGUACAAGCAAAUAAUCAAAACUUUUAACAACGGAUCUCUUGGUUCUGGCAUCGAUGAAGAACGCAGCGAAAUGCGAUAAGUAAUGUGAAUUGCAGAAUUCAGUGAAUCAUCGAAUCUUUGAACGCACAUUGCGCCCGCCAGCAUUCUGGCGGGCAUGCCUGUUCGAGCGUCAUUUCAACCCUCAAGCUCUGCUUGGUGUUGGGGCCCUACGGCUGACGUAGGCCCUCAAAGGUAGUGGCGGACCCUCCCGGAGCCUCCUUUGCGUAGUAACUUUACGUCUCGCACUGGGAUCCGGAGGGACUCUUGCCGUAAAACCCCCAAUUUUCCAAAGGUUGACCUCGGAUCAGGUAGGAAUACCCGCUGAACUUAAGCAUAUCAAUAAGCGGAGGAA